CGUGUAGGCGGUGAAACAAGUCAAACUUUAAAUGCUCUCGGCUUAACCAGAGUACGGGUUUGAUACCAUUUCGCUGGAGAUUGGGAGAGGAAAGUGGAACUAACAGUGUAGCGGUGAAAUGCGUAGAUAUUGUUAGGAACACCCGUGGCGAAGGCGGCUUUCUGGACCAAUUCUGACGCUGAGACGCGAAAGCGUGGGGAGCAAACAGGAUUAGAUACCCUGGUAGUCCACGCUGUAAACAAUGUACAUUAGGUAUAGAGGGUAUCGACCCCUUCUGUGCCGAAGCUAACGCGUUAAAUGUACCGCCUGGGGAGUACGGUCGCAAGAUUAAA
rnacentral:rRNA from 1 species